UACGUAGGGUGCGAGCGUUGUCCGGAAUCACUGGGCGUAAAGGGCGCGUAGGUGGCCGAGCAAGGUUGCGGUGAAAGCCCGGGGCUCAACCCCGGGUCGGCCGUGGCAACUACUCGGCUUGAGCACUGUAGGGGCGGGUGGAAUUCCGGGUGUAGCGGUGGAAUGCGUAGAGAUCCGGAAGAACACCGGUGGCGAAGGCGGCCCGCUGGGCAGGAAGGCUCGCAAGAGCCGGCUGACACUGAGGCGCGACAGCGUGGGGAGCAAACGGG
rnacentral:rRNA from 1 species